GACAGAGGGUGCAAACGUUGUUCGGAAUUACUGGGCGUAAAGCGCGUGUAGGCUGCUUCGAAAGUCGGAUGUGGAAGCCCUGGGCUCAACCUAGGAAGUGCACUCGAAACUUCGAAGCUGGAGUCCUGGAGAGGAAGGCGGAAUUCUCGGUGUAGAGGUGAAAUUCGUAGAUAUCGAGAGGAACACCGGUGGCGAAGGCGGCCUUCUGGACAGUGACUGACGCUGAGACGCGAAAGCGUGGGGAGCAAACAGG
rnacentral:rRNA from 1 species